UAUUUUCUAUUUCCUAUUUUAAAUGAGUGUCUAAAAAAACAUUUUGCAUUUUCAAAUGGAAAGCUUUUAACUAUUUUGCAUUUUCUAUUUUAAAUGGGUCUGGACAACCAUUUUGCACAUCUCUGAAAGUAUAUAAUCUAUUAUUGAAAGUUGUACAAUAGCGUCGAAUUAAUUAUCUGUUUACAUAAUAUUCGAAAGACAUAGACAUAAGAAAAUAUAUAUUAUAUAUAACAAAGCAAAGACUAACAAUAAGAUAUGUACUUCUUUAAAAGAGUACGAAUUAUGAGAUUCGAGUUAUACCAACGAGUUAUAAUUAACUUUUAGAUUUCAUUCUGUAUUCAGAAAUCAGGUCAUUUUCUUUUUAACAUCUCUUGACAAUUAUAUUAUUUUAAAUAAUUAUGCUAUUUGGCUAUAAAAACAGAGAAUGCAAUCAAUAAUUGCAAUCUAAUGACAGUUUUAUUAAUUUCUUUUUUUAUAGAUUUUCUAUAAUAUGUAGUACAUUUAUAUUGUACGUAUACAUAUAUUUAGAUAAGGAAUGUUCCUUUAUCUGAAAGAAUGCAGAUUGAAGAUUUUACUUUCCGAGGAAUCAAACCGAUUAAAGAUGUGAUCUUAAGAUAAUUAGUGAGAUUUGCAAAUUGCUCAGUUUGAAGAAUAACGUUACUCUCGUCCAGGAAGUACAGUACCGAGAUGGCCGAGAGCUUGGUGGGCGCACAGCAGGGUUUGGGCACUUUUCCCGGACUCACCAGAUGCACCAAAGUCUGAACUAUUGCGUGGUUAGUCGCGUUCAUGUGAGCAUUCAGCGGAAAGUUGCAAUCCCCACUGCAGUAGUAUGCAUCGUAUCCAUCUGGCGCGAUAAUCCAAUCCUGUGGAACAAACGUUGGAAAAAGAUUGUGCUGUAUAAAUCGACGAUUUCUCGGUGCUAGGUUGCGGCGAACGAUCGUAUGCAAAUGAUCGGAGAUAUCUACUAUCGCCGGUGGUACAGCACGAGCUCCGUCUGAGUCCGAGAAAGCUAGUAAAUUGACCGGCAGGAAUGCGCAUUCGCCGUGAUUGCGGUGGACACCUGCCGUCGCAGUUGUUGCACUUUGCGCGCCCGAGGAAUGCACCGACGGGAGAUUCUCGCAGCGGAUGGGAGAGACAUCGCGCAUUCAAGUGCAUUCAAGUUCAAGCUCAAGGAUUCAACGAGAAGCUAAAGAUAAAACGCUAACUAAGCAGUAGCGAUAUCAAAUACCCGAGAAGACCAGGAAGAGAUUCAAGAUUCAACAGAGGCGUUGUUAAGCUACUAAUCUUUCAUGUCACGCACACGAGCUUAGCAGAACAAAAAUAUGGCAGAGUGAGAGCCCUGAACAGGUGUAACAUUGAGCAGACACGAAUACACGUGAUCGCUCUCUUUAAGGAUAUACCUCGCUCCAAAAAUUACUCCAAAUAAACGAUUUCCAAGCCACGUCAAACAUUGUACGUAAAAUCCAGCUGGUCCUUAAUCUUUAAUUAAUAUCCGUUUUAUCUGUUACAUUUUUCUUAUGUCUGAAAAUAGGUAUAUUUUUCGAAUAACGUUAGACUUAUAACUCGAUUUCGCGCCUCGCUCGCGACCCAAUCUCGAUAAACAUCGUACGUGUUUACAUCAAGCCACUCUAUAUUUAGCGCGCUAUUCCCAAGAAGUCUGACCGAGAAGUUUGAACGGAAACACAGUUAAUAGAAGAGACUUCCAUCCAUAAAGUUCAAGAAGAAACGCUUACCAUUGGAAUUCCGUAACGUAAUGAUGUACCGCGCAGAGAUCUUAUUACGAAAGCAACGAGUCGCCAGCUUGUCUCGCGACGAAGAAGAGGCAGGAGGAAGAAAGGAAGGAGGUGGAGGGAUGCGUCACGCAUAGUUUGACUUUGAUGGAAGGAGCCGAAACAGCCGGCGAAAGGGUAAGAAGAAGAUGAGGAGAGAGAAGCAGCCUCUGAAACGCAACUGCGUAGGCGGAUGAGACGGAGAGGCCACGAAGAGAGGCCUGUUAGGCCGUCUCCACGGCUAAUUUACCUCAAUUUACGGAAUAGUGUUUCCUGUCGGGGCUCGGUAUAUCGGUCAGGCUCAGGUCACCAAAAUUCUGAGGGAAGGGGAGAGAAGGACAAAGCGAGACGUGCCGUCGGCUGUCAUUCUACAAUUCCUCAUACUUAAAUCAAAAGGCCGAAAAGCCGAAUAGCUCCUAGAUGGGCCGAAGCGAAACGGCGGAACGAUUUCAAUGGAUAUAUAACUAGACAAUAGGAUGAUACCGAGGGAAGAAGUGAAAGUAGAAAUGUUCCUUUCGUCUUUUGAAUGAAAAAGACGGAUACAGAGAGAUAUAUCCAGGAUGGAGAGGAUGAAAGAGGACGUCGUCCAGAGGAUUCUCUUUCUGCAGGGAUAUAAAUUGUAAAAGCGUCGGCUUAUCGAUGCGGCUCAACUAGGGAACCUGCGACUCGGGAGCUCGUGGUCAAACCACUUUACGAAAAAAUCUCUAGAUCUCUACAAUAGAACGGAAAUUAGUUCUUCGUCUUGGGAGCAGAAGACAUUUUCCGAGAUAUCCGUUAUCGCAAAACGAAACCUGUACAAAAGGAAGCAUCAGGUCGAUAAUGGACCCUCGGCGAGGGCCACACCACUUGAACUCUCUACGAGGAGAGGCCCUUAUAGAAAUGAGUCGUGGACAAUUCGCAGCGUGAAAUCGACCUCUUUCUUUCCGCCAAAGCAGCCGCCCGUUCUGCGGAGCGAAGAAAAGAACCCAGGAUGAAUAAGAGAAGAGGAUCGAACUGUUACAUUUAAUUCCGCUGCGAAUCCAUCCAUCCAUCCAUCUAUCCAGGAUCCAGCGUUCUAAUCUUCAUAAUUCGUAGCCAUGCCAUUCUCCCUCCGGGCAAGUCGACCGUCCGCGCGAAGAAGGAAGAUUGUACAGGAGGGAAGUGAAAAAAGGGAGCAAAAGGACGCGAGGGACGAGCCCGAGCCCCCAAGUUGAGACAUUUUAACCUGCUCGUGGCGCGAGGAAGGAAGAGAGAGAGAGAGAGAGAGAGAGAGAUACUUAUUGACUCGUCUUUCCCAGGGGGGUAUCCCACGGUGGUAGGAGGACUUUGUAUAAGAUAUACGGCCUAUGGCGAGCGCGUGUGUAUCUGAAUUAAUCCUUUCCGUACCCUCCCUUGCAUCCCUUUGCUUCUAAGCUCCUGUCUUUCUCUCUCUUUUUCUCUUUAUAUUUGUAUGUAACGAUUUGCGACUUGUUACAUCUACUGUAAUGAUCGGAUUUACGUGCAUGCCGCGCAUUUCGCGUCGAAUAGUCUAGAACGUUUCUCACCGACGAGAGGACGACAGCGAAAUAGAAAACCAGACGUAAGAACGGAGAGGAGGAGGAAGAGGAGAAGGAGGUAGUAACGGGUUUCCGAGGAAUCUGAAAUGUUCCCUCUUCCUCUUUCCUCUCUUCUUAUCUCAUCUUCGCGAAAUAUAUCUCGUUUGAUGUUUCAAAUCGAUUCCUUGUCCACCAUUCAUACCGUGAUCUAUGCGUUGUGAAAAAACGUUAGGGAAAAAAAAACGAGAGAAGAAAAGUAAUAGAGAUUUUUUUAUCUUAAAUUUGUAUCGGAGGCUGCGUGUAAUUUUGAAUAAUUCAAUCGUAAAACAGAUAGAUGACAAUGUAGUCCUAUAAAUUUUGUGUUUGCCGAUUGCCCCGAGAACUCGUUACGCGUGUUUCCCAUCCUUUUCGUGAUUCAUCCCUCAGGAACGUGUGCGAUAAGGAAAAUUCUUCUGGUUUUUUGAAGUCCCAUCGAUUCUCAAUAUUAAGGAUUUUUUCCGGGAAAACCUUUUCGGCUCGAUAAUUGUUUUUAGAUAAUUAAUCACCUACAAGAUUACUUUUAAGACUGAUGUUUAAGGGAAACUAUUUAAAAUUUUCUGUGUUUAUUUGAUAUCUUUGUGCAUUUUUUUUUUUUUUUACAACGUAUAUUUAUAUUUGUAUUAACAAUAUCAGCUAAUUCCUUUUUCGUAAUGUCAUAAGAAUGCUGUCAUAAAUUAUUUAGUUGUCGAGAUGCAUCAGGAACGAAUUCAGGGGUGAAUGAACGCGAGGGAAGAUAUUACUUUAUUUGGUAAAUGUAUCCUCUGUGCGAUCAAUUUUUUACCCAGAGUAUAUAUAGAUUUUUCGAUGAAUCUGACAUCGACUUUGCCUUAUAUCUAUCUAAUUUGAUCCUUUCGAAAUCUGAAAUCUUUCUUUACUAAUUUGCGGAGGAAAGUGUUUAUUCAUUCAUCGAUUGCAUGGAAAAAUCGACAUUAAGUGCUCCUGGAUGGCCGCAGUGGGUACUGCGGCCAUCUUGGAUUGAUGACGUCAGAAGCGAGAAAAUGUAUUUUACCAAAAAAUUCUUGCGACGUACGUGAAAAUAAAAAUGUUUUCAAAAAUACCGGUUGAAAUGGAUAGAACAGACUUGUAAAAUAUACCGAGAACUCCUUUUGCUUGGGUAAUCAAUAAAUAACAUGUAUAUGUCGAAUGAACUUGAGCCUAACUAUAAGGACGAAAACCAGCUGUUUGACAUUGAAAAAAAAAUUAAUAUUUGCUUUCACAUAUUAAAUUCUACCAAAAUGAGAGUUUUCGGUAUAUUUUAACACCACGACAAUUAUUUUAAACACAAAAACACUGCACUAAAACGAAAAAUAACGCUGUAAGUCGCAAGAAUCUUUCAGUUUGCUAAAAUCUCAUUUAUGCUUAUCUAUUAAUAGACGAAAUCAUAUUAUUUAUUAAUUAUAUAUUAUUUUCGUUCAUAAUUAUAUCU